rnacentral:rRNA from 1 species
AAAUUGAAGAGUUUGAUCAUGGCUCAGAUUGAACGCUGGCGGCAGGCCUAACACAUGCAAGUCGAACGGUAACAGAAAGCAGCUUGCUGCUUUGCUGACGAGUGGCGGACGGGUGAGUAAUGUCUGGGAAACUGCCUGAUGGAGGGGGAUAACUACUGGAAACGGUAGCUAAUACCGCAUAAUGUCGCAAGACCAAAGAGGGGGACCUUCGGGCCUCUUGCCAUCGGAUGUGCCCAGAUGGGAUUAGCUAGUAGGUGGGGUAACGGCUCACCUAGGCGACGAUCCCUAGCUGGUCUGAGAGGAUGACCAGCCACACUGGAACUGAGACACGGUCCAGACUCCUACGGGAGGCAGCAGUGGGGAAUAUUGCACAAUGGGCGCAAGCCUGAUGCAGCCAUGCCGCGUGUAUGAAGAAGGCCUUCGGGUUGUAAAGUACUUUCAGCGGGGAGGAAGGGAGUAAAGUUAAUAUCUUU